AGUGAACGCUGGCGGUAUGCCUAACACAUGCAAGUCGAACGGCAGCACAGUAAGAUCUUGCUCUUACGGGUGGCGAGUGGCGGACGGGUGAGGAAUACAUCGGAAUCUACUUUUUCGGGGGUGAUUACGUAGGGAAACUUACGCUAAUACCGCAUACGACCUACGGGUGAAAGCAGUGGAGAUUCGGACCUUGCGCGAUUGAAUGAGCCGAUGUCGGAUUAGCUAGUUGGCGAGGUAAAGGCCCACCAAGGCGACGAUCCGUAGCUGGUCUGAGAGGAUGAUCAGCCACACUGGAACUGAGACACGGUCCAGACUCCUACGGGAGGCAGCAGUGGGGAAUCUUGGACAAUGGGCGAAAGCCUGACCCAGCAACACCGCGUGGGUGAAGAAGGCCUUCGGGUCGUAAAGCCCUGUUGUUGGGAAAGAAAAGCAGCAGGUUAAUCCACCGCUGUCCUGACGGUACCCAAAGAAUAAGCCCCGGCUAACUUCGUG
rnacentral:rRNA from 1 species